AUUGAACGCUGGCGGCAGGCCUAACACAUGCAAGUCGAGCGGAUGAAGGGAGCUUGCUCCUGGAUUCAGCGGCGGACGGGUGAGUAAUGCCUAGGAAUCUGCCUGGUAGUGGGGGAUAACGUCCGGAAACGGGCGCUAAUACCGCAUACGUCCUGAGGGAGAAAGUGGGGGAUCUUCGGACCCCACGCUAUCAGAUGAGCCUAGGUCGGAUUAGCUAGUUGGUGGGGUAAAGGCCUACCAAGGCGACGAUCCGUAACUGGUCUGAGAGGAUGAUCAGUCACACUGGAACUGAGACACGGUCCAGACUCCUCCGGGAGGCAGCAGUGGGGAAUAUUAGAUAAUGGGCGAAAGCCUGAUCCAGCCAUGCCGCGUGUGUGGAGAAGGUCUUCGGAUUGUAAAGCACUUUAAGUUGGGAGGAAGGGCAGUAAGUUAAUACCUUGCUGUUUUGACGUUACCAACAGAAUAAGCACCGGCUAACUUCGUG
rnacentral:rRNA from 1 species